rnacentral:rRNA from 1 species
UGAGUUUGAUCCUGGUUCAGAACGAACGCUGGCGGCGUGCUUAACACAUGCAAGUCGAACGCGAAAGGGACUUCGGUCCCGAGUAGAGUGGCGCACGGGUGAGUAACGCGUAAGUAAUCUACCCCUGUAUCUGGAAUAACCCACCGAAAGGUGAGCUAAUACCGGAUACGUUUAUCUUGAUGCGAAUGAUGAUAAAGAAAGGUGGCCUCUUCAUGAAAGCUACCGUACAGGGACGAGCUUGCGUACCAUUAGCUGGUUGGUAGGGUAAUGGCCUACCAAGGCGACGAUGGUUAGCGGGUCUGAGAGGAUGAUCCGCCACACUGGAACUGAAACACGGACCAGACUCCUACGGGAGGCAGCAGUGAGGAAUAUUGCGCAAUGGGGGCAACCCUGACGCAGCGACGCCGCGUGGACGAUGAAGGCCCUUGGGUCGUAAAAUCCUGUCAGAUGGAAAGAAAUGUACAGGUGUUAAUAUCGCCUGUAUUUGACGGUACCAUCAAAGGAAGCACCGGCUAACUCCGUGCCAGCAGCCGCGGUAAUACGGAGGGUGCGAGCGUUGUUCGGAAUUACUGGGCGUAAAGCGCGCGUAGGCGG